GAUGAACGCUAGCGGCAGGCUUAACACAUGCAAGUCGAGGGGUAUAGGUUUUCGGACCUAGAGACCGGCGCACGGGUGCGUAACGCGUAUGCAAUCUACCUUUCACAGAGGGAUAGCCCAGAGAAAUUUGGAUUAAUACCUCAUAGUAUAGCAGUUUCGCAUGAAACCACUAUUAAAGUAUCAACGGUGAAAGAUGAGCAUGCGUCCCAUUAGCUAGAUGGUAAGGUAACGGCUUACCAUGGCUACGAUGGGUAGGGGUCAUGAGGGGGAGGUCCCCCGCACUGGAACUGAGACACGGACCCGAACGCUACGGGAGGCAGCGGUGACGUAUAUUGGUCAAUAGAGUCAAGUCUGGAACGGCCCUGCCGCGUGCAGGAUGACGGUCCUAUGGAUUGUAAACUGCUUUUGUACGAGAAGAAACAACAUUACGUGUAAUGUCUUGACGGUAUCGUAAGAAUAAGCACCAGCUAACUCCGUGCCAGCCGCCGCAGUAAGAC
rnacentral:rRNA from 1 species